UCCAUGGUGGUCCAGUGGCUAAGACUGUGCACUUCCACUGCAGGGAGCCCAGGUUCCAUUCCUGGUCAGGGAA
rfam:TPA: Bos taurus chromosome 17, whole genome shotgun sequence.